rnacentral:rRNA from 1 species
CAGAGGGUGCAAGCGUUGUUCGGAAUUACUGGGCGUAAAGCGCGUGUAGGCGGCUUGGCAAGUCCUGUGUGAAAGCCCUGGGCUCAACCCAGGAAGUGCGCAGGAUACUGCCGAGCUGGAGUAGCGGAGAGGAUGGCGGAAUACCCGGUGUAGAGGUGAAACUCGUAGAUAUCGGGUGGAACACCUGUGGCGAAGGCGGCCAUCUGGACGUUCACUGACGCUGAGACGCGAAAGCGUGGGUAGCAAACAGGAUUAGAUACCCUGGUAGUCCACGCUGUAAACGAUGGAUGCUAGAUGUCACGGGUAUUGACCCCUGUGGUGUCGACGCUAACGCAUUAAGCAUCCCGCCUGGGGAGUACGGCCGCAAGGUUA